AACGAACGCUGGCGGCAUGCCUAACACAUGCAAGUCGAACGAGACCUUCGGGUCUAGUGGCGCACGGGUUCGUAACGCGUGGGAACCUGCCCUUAGGUUCGGAAUAACUCCCCGAAAGGGGUGCGAAUACCGGAUAAUGUCUUCGGACCAAAGAUUUAUCGCCUUUGGGUGGGCCCGCGUUGGAUUAGCUAGUUGGUAGGGUAAAAGCCUACCAAGGCGACGAUCCAUAGCUGGUCUGAGAGGAUGCUCAGCCACACUGGGACUGAGACACGGCCCAGACUCCUACGGGAGGCAGCAGUGGGGAAUAUUGGACAAGGGGCGAAAGCCUGAUCCAGCCAUGCCGCGUGAGUGAUGAAGGCCUUAGGGUUGUAAAGCUCUUUUACCCGGGAUGAUAAUGACAGUACCGGGAGAAUAAGCUCCGGCUAACUCCGUG
rnacentral:rRNA from 1 species